CUAGUCUCGCCAGGUCGUUGACACUCAACGACCGGCUUUGACAGGCCGUCCG
rnacentral:ncRNA from 1 species